rnacentral:rRNA from 1 species
UACAGAGGGUGCUAGCGUUGUUCGGAAUCAUUGGGCGUAAAGGGCGCGUAGGCGGCCUGAUAAGUAGGGGGUGAAAUCCUGCGGCUUAACCGCAGGGCUGCCUUCUAAACUGUCAGGCUAGAGCACAGUAGAGGCAGGUGGAAUUCCCGGUGUAGCGGUGGAAUGCGUAGAGAUCGGGAAGAACAUCAGUGGCGAAGGCGGCCUGCUGGGCUGUUGCUGACGCUGAGGCGCGACAGCGUGGGGAGCAAACAGG